AACGAACGCUGGCGGCAGGCUUAACACAUGCAAGUCGAGCGCCCCGCAAGGGGAGCGGCAGACGGGUGAGUAACGCGUGGGAACGUACCCUUUGCUACGGAAUAGCUCCGGGAAACUGGAAUUAAUACCGUAUGUGCCCUACGGGGGAAAGAUUUAUCGGCAAAGGAUCGGCCCGCGUUGGAUUAGCUAGCUGGUGGGGUAAUGGCCUACCAAGGCGACGAUCCAUAGCUGGUCUGAGAGGAUGAUCAGCCACAUUGGGACUGAGACACGGCCCAAACUCCUACGGGAGGCAGCGGUGGGGAAUAUUGGACAAUGGGCGCAAUCCUGAUCCAGCCAUGCCGCGUGAGUGAUGAAGGCCUUAGGGUUGUAAAGCUCUUUCACCGGAGAAGAUAAUGACGGUAUCCGGAGAAGAAGCCCCGGCUAACUUCGUGCCAGCCGCCGCCGUAACAC
rnacentral:rRNA from 1 species